AGCGGAUUUGUAAACUGUUAAAUGUUAAUUGUUAAAUGCACUCUGUAUUGUUUGGUUUAAAAAAACUGAAUAUAUCGAUAAAGUGUUAAAUAUUCUGUAAAUACUCGUGUUUAUGUUCUAUUCUUUACAGUAUAUAAAUAAAUGACAACAUAUUUACAUAAUAGUUUACACACACACUGUACAUUUUCACACUGUAUAGUUCAUGGCUUUCAUUCUGCAAAGUAAUUCUUCAGCACAGAUGCUUUUAAUAAAUCACGGGAUUGACAUGAGAGUGCGACUGUUCUUUCCACUCGUCUGAUUGGCUGAGAGCAGAUCCAGGUCCCGCCUCUGAUGCUUUAUAUAAGCCGGCUCCACUCGGUUCGUCACUCUGCUGAUCACACUGACAUCAUGCUGCUCACCGUCUGCGCUCUGCUCCCUGCUCUGGCAUUGGUCGGUUCACAGAAAGUCGUGACGCAAAAGCCUUCGGUUAUAACGGAAGAUAAGGGAAAAACUGUCUCUAUGGACUGUAACAUCGAGAAGGCUGAAGCUUACUAUGUCUCCUGGUAUAAACAGAUUCCACAAGAAGCUCCACAGUUUGUGUUGAGAUUUUAUCAUUCUCACUCCUCUCCUGAUAAAUAUGGAGACAAUUUUUCAUCUGCACGCUUCACAUCUAAAGCCUCUUCAAACAUCGACUAUCAGUUAAUAAUCAGUAAUGUGGAGGUGGGAGACUCGGCAGUGUAUUACUGUCAGACAUAUGACAACUCUACUAAAGAGAUUGAGAGGAUCGAGUCCUACAGUUUGGACUGUGGCUACGACUGGACCUUCAGUGUGAUUCCUGCUGAAAUCUGUCCACAGAGAGUCAAAAGACUUUCUCUGCAGUCUCUGGAGAAGCAGAACUGAUGCUACAGCUAGAUGUUCAGUACAAUAUCUGCUGAACUGUGCAACACUGAGUCAUAGGACUCUCUCUCCCCAUUGACGCCACUAGACUGAAGGCCUUUCAGAAAUCAGGACCAACCAAGGAGACACCACCGGAGCAUAACUAUAAAGCGUCUCUACACACCUUCUACAGUGAUGGCGUGCUAGUUUAGUUACAAUUAGUCUUACUUAUAAUUAAAUAAAUCCACUCUUGCCUAAACUAAACCAUUCAGUACUAAACUAUAUUCCUUUUUUUGCCUAUUUACAUAUGAAUAUUUUGGUAAAGUUGAUGGAAACUGUAGAUAAAUGUGUAAAGAAAGAAACAAUAUAAACUCCUGCAUUUAUUCACGAUCGGUGAAAUUUAAUAAAGUGCAGAUCUGAAAAACAGAAAUGUAUCUGUGAGUUCAUUAUAAUGUUACAAAGCAGUUUGAAGCGUGAUCCCUAAAAAUAAAAAUAAAAACAAAGUGCGUCA